rnacentral:rRNA from 1 species
GAUGAACGCUGGCGGCGUGCCUAAUACAUGCAAGUCGAACGCUUCACUUCGGUGAAGAGUGGCGAACGGGUGAGUAAUACAUAAGUAACCUGGCAUCUACAGGGGGAUAACUGAUGGAAACGUCAGCUAAGACCGCAUAGGUGUAGAGAUCGCAUGAACUCUAUAUGAAAAGUGCUACGGGACUGGUAGAUGAUGGACUUAUGGCGCAUUAGCUUGUUGGUAGGGUAACGGCCUACCAAGGCGACGAUGCGUAGCCGACCUGAGAGGGUGACCGGCCACACUGGAACUGAGACACGGCCCAGACUCCUACGGGAGGCAGCAGUAGGGAAUUUUCGGCAAUGGGGGAAACCCUGACCGAGCAACGCCGCGUGAAGGAAGAAGUAAUUCGGUAUGUAAACUUCUGUCAUAGAGGAAGAACGGUGGAUAUAGGGAAUGAUAUCCAAGUGACGGUACUCUAUAAGAAAGCCACGGCUAACUACGUG